CCUACGGGUGGCAGCAGUGGGGAAUAUUGGACAAUGGGCGAAAGCCUGAUCCAGCCAUGCCGCGUGUGUGAAGAAGGCCUUCGGGUUGUAAAGCACUUUCAGUGGGGAAGAAAGCCUUGGGGCUAAUACCCUCGAGGAAGGACAUCACCCACAGAAGAAGCACCGGCUAACUCCGUGCCAGCAGCCGCGGUAAUACGGAGGGUGCGAGCGUUAAUCGGAAUUACUGGGCGUAAAGCGCGCGUAGGCGGUCUGAUAAGCCGGUUGUGAAAGCCCCGGGCUCAACCUGGGAACGGCAUCCGGAACUGUCAGGCUAGAGUGCAGGAGAGGAAGGUAGAAUUCCUGGUGUAGCGGUGAAAUGCGUAGAGAUCGGGAGGAAUACCAGUGGCGAAGGCGGCCUUCUGGACUGACACUGACGCUGAGGUGCGAAAGCGUGGGUAGCAAACAGGAUUAGAUACCCGGGUAGUC
rnacentral:rRNA from 1 species